UACGUAGGGGGCAAGCGUUGUCCGGAUUUAUUGGGCGUAAAGAGCUCGUAGGCGGCUAUUCGCGUCGGAUGUGAAAGCUCACGGCUCAACCGUGAGAGGCCAUUCGAUACGGGAUAGCUAGAGGUAGGUAGGGGAGAUCGGAAUUCCUGGUGUAGCGGUGAAAUGCGCAGAUAUCAGGAGGAACACCGAUGGCGAAGGCAGAUCUCUGGGCCUUACCUGACGCUGAGGAGCGAAAGCUGGGGGAGCGAACAGG
rnacentral:rRNA from 1 species